rnacentral:rRNA from 1 species
UACAGAGGGUGCAAGCGUUAAUCGGAAUUACUGGGCGUAAAGCGUGCGCAGACGGUUGCGUAAGUCAGAUGUGAAAGCCCCGGGCUCAACCUGGGAACUGCAUUUGGGACUGCAAGGCUGGAGUACGGCAGAGGGAGGUGGAAUUCCACGUGUAGCAGUGAAAUGCGUAGAGAUGUGGAGGAACACCGAUGGCGAAGGCAGGUCUCUGGGCCGCAACUGACGCUGAGGAGCGAAAGCAUGGGGAGCGAACAGG